rnacentral:rRNA from 1 species
UACGUAGGGCGCAAGCGUUAUCCGGAAUUAUUGGGCGUAAAGAGCUCGUAGGCGGUUUGUCGCGUCUGCCGUGAAAGUCCGGGGCUCAACUCCGGAUCUGCGGUGGGUACGGGCAGACUAGAGUGAUGUAGGGGAGACUGGAAUUCCUGGUGUAACGGUGAAAUGCGCAGAUAUCAGGAAGAACACCUAUGGCGAAGGCAGCUCUCUGGGACGGUACUGACGCUGAGACGCGAAAGCGUGGGGAGCGAACAGG